rnacentral:rRNA from 1 species
GUUUAAGACUAAGACGUUGAUAGGCUGGGUGUGUAAGCGUAGCGAUACGUUGAGCUAACCAGUACUAAUGAACCGUGAGGCUUAACCUG